GUGUAGUGUCUUAGAGAAAAAUAUUUAAUAAUAGGUGGAACACAGAAGGUGGCAGAAUUGUAGAAGUGGUGUGCAGAUAACCAAUGUAUAGCAAAUAUUUUUAAAUUUUAUUUUAAAUGUUAAUUUUUUUUGAGAGAGAGAGAGAGACAGAGCAUGAGUGGGGGAGGAGCAGAGAGACAGGGAGACCCAGGAUCAGAAGCAGGCUUGAGACUCUGAGCUGUCAACACAGACCCCAAUGCAGGGCUCGAACUCACAAACCAUGAGAUCAUGACCUGAGCUGAAGUCAGCGCUUAACUGACUGAGCCACCCAGGCAUCCCAAUGUAUAGCGAAUCUUUGCAAAGAAAAUAGUAGGGGCUUCUGAGACAGACACCCAGGACUGGAUUGACAUCAGUGCUGCUGACUGUUAAGUAUUCAGGGAUUUUGCAAGCCUCUUGUUAAACUAUCGAUCCCUUGAAACUGGCCAUGAUGGAAGGUAAUAUUUACACCACAGAAAUUGGCACACUAUGACUCCAGGCUUUCUCCCUCCCUCCCUUCCUCCUUUCCUCCCUUUCCCUCUCUCUGUCUCUGUCUUUCUCUCUCUUUUUCUUAUUUUUCAGAGAGUGGUUUACCAGAAUGCCCCUGGCUCAAGUCCCUGCUUGGACACAUGUUAAGUGUGUGACUGCUCCAAGCCCCUGUCCCCUCCGGGAAACUCAGACUUUGAGGGUACAGCCCCAGCUUCAGAAGAUUACAAGAAGUAGAUGGCUGUCUGGCGACUUUGAAUGUGUGUCCCACACACACUGCACCGCUAGUGAUCCACCGGAAAAUGUAUUGAGUACUGUGAUUAUCUUGUCAAUAACAAGUAUUGUAUCAUGA